rnacentral:rRNA from 1 species
CCUACGUGAGUCAGCAGUGAGGAAUAUUGGUCAAUGGCCGGAAGGCUGAACCAGCCAAGUCGCGUGAGUGAAGAAGUAUUUCGGUAUGUAAAGCUCUAUCAGCAGGGAAGAAAAUGACGGUACCUGAUUAAGAAGCCCCGGCUAACUACGUGCCAGCAGCCGCGGUAAUACGUAGGGGGCAAGCGUUAUCCGGAUUUACUGGGUGUAAAGGGAGCGUAGACGGCAGCACAAGUCUGGAGUGAAAUGCCGGGGCUUAACCCCGGAACUGCUUUGGAAACUGUGCAGCUAGAGUGCAGGAGAGGUAAGUGGAAUUCCUAGUGUAGCGGUGAAAUGCGUAGAUAUUAGGAGGAACACCAGUGGCGAAGGCGGCUUACUGGACUGUAACUGACGUUGAGGCUCGAAAGCGUGGGGAGCAAACAGGAUUAGAUACCCGUGUAGUC